rnacentral:rRNA from 1 species
AUGUUCAGAACUCUUUUUGAGAACGUCAGAAUCAAAAUAGCCUGCAGAGACCCAACCAAAAUUCCUUUUGAGAGAUUGAUUGAGAUGAAGAAAAAACUGUUCCUACUUGGCUUUACUGUGGAAGGUUUUGAGCAAGCAGGAGGUGUUGACUCUGUCAUUGAUUUGGAUGAGGAUGAAGAUGGUAAUGAGGAAGGUGGGGGUGCUGAGAAAGAACAGACUGGAAAAGAGAAUGGAGCUCAGGAGGAGCAUGCUUCUGAAGGAUCAGGUGAGGAUGAUCAGGCAAUUGAUGAACUAGACAAAGCUAAUUUUACAACUAAACAGGUAUCUUCAAACAAGUCUGGUAGUCAAAGGGGGGUGGUUACACCUAUGGGGUAUGGGAAUGAUGCUGAUCAGGAGGAGUUCAUCAUGAAAUGUGCUUUGGCUGCUGUUGAUUUUGAUGAUGCAUCAUCUGAUGGGCACAAGUCUGGCUUUGCUGGUGACCUCAAAGAACAGAACCACAUGUCUGGUGAGGAGGAAAGGAAGGAUGGAAAAAUGAUGAUACCAGAAAAUUCUCUACUUGGGGAAAAUGCUGCUUACAUAACUCUUGAGAAGAAUAUUGGUAGUAUGGAAUACUGUGAGGAUCUGUUAAGAUCAGUUGAUGUUUCUGACUCUGAAAAUGAGGAUUCAAAGGAAGAAGAGUUGGGGGUUCUCCCUCUUGAGGCUGUCCAAAUCCUACAGAGUGAGUCUUGGAAGAGAUCCCUGUUGGAAUCACUUAACCAAACCAAAAAAAUGAUGAGAAUAUCCAUGAGAAGAAGCCUAAAUGGGGUCCUGUGCUAG